rnacentral:rRNA from 1 species
CUACGGGUGGCAGCAGUGGGGAAUAUUGGACAAUGGGCGAAAGCCUGAUCCAGCCAUGUCGCGUGUGUGAAGAAGGCCUUCGGGUUGUAAAGCACUUUCAGUGGGGAAGAAAGCCUUGGGGCUAAUACCCUCGAGGAAGGACAUCACCCACAGAAGAAGCACCGGCUAACUCCGUGCCAGCAGCCGCGGUAAUACGGAGGGUGCGAGCGUUAAUCGGAAUUACUGGGCGUAAAGCGCGCGUAGGCGGUCUGAUAAGCCGGUUGUGAAAGCCCCGGGCUCAACCUGGGAACGGCAUCCGGAACUGUCAGGCUAGAGUGCAGGAGAGGAAGGUAGAAUUCCCGGUGUAGCGGUGAAAUGCGUAGAGAUCGGGAGGAAUACCAGUGGCGAAGGCGGCCUUCUGGACUGACACUGACGCUGAGGUGCGAAAGCGUGGGUAGCAAACAGGAUUAGAUACCCCAGUAGUC